UACGUAGGUGACAAGCGUUGUCCGGAUUUACUGGGCGUAAAGAGCGCGCAGGCGGUCGUUCAAGUCGAGUGUGAAAGCCCCCCGGCUCAACUGGGGAGGGUCACUCGAUACUGAUCGACUCGAAGGCAGGAGAGGGUAGUGGAAUUCCCGGUGUAGUGGUGAAAUGCGCAGAUAUCAGGAGGAACACCGGUGGCGAAGGCGGCACUCUGGGCCGGUACUGACGCUGAGGAGCGAAAGCGUGGGGAG
rnacentral:rRNA from 1 species